UGGGCGUCCGGCGGAAACUACAGGGCUUGGGACCGGAAGACUUGAGGGGUACGUCUGGGGUAGGAGUGAAAUCCUGUAAUCCUGGACGGACCGCCGAUAGCGAAAGCACCUCAAGACGACGGAUCCGACAGUGAGGGACGAAAGCUAGGGUCUCGAACCGGAUUAGAUACCCGGGUAGUCCUAGCUGUAAACGAUGUUCG
rnacentral:rRNA from 1 species